ACAGAGGUCUCAAGCGUUGUUCGGAUUCAUUGGGCGUAAAGGGUGCGUAGGUGGCGCCAUAAGUCAGGUGUGAAAUCUCGGGGCUCAACCCCGAAACUGCACUUGAUACUGUGGUGCUCGAGUACUGGAGAGGAGAUUGGAAUUUACGGUGUAGCAGUGAAAUGCGUAGAUAUCGUAAGGAAGACCAGUGGCGAAGGCGAAUCUCUGGACAGUUACUGACACUGAGGCACGAAGGCCAGGGGAGCAAACG
rnacentral:rRNA from 1 species